rnacentral:rRNA from 1 species
UACGGGGGGGCAAGCGUUGGUUCGGAAUUACUGGGCGUAAAGGGCUCGUAGGUGGCCAACUAAGUCAGACGUGAAAUCCCUCAGCUUAACUGGGGAACUGCGUCUGAUACUGGAUGGCUUGAGAUUGGGAGAGGGAUGCGGAAUUCCAGGUGUAGCGGUGAAAUGCGUAGAUAUCUGGAGGAACACCGGUGGCGAAGGCGGCAUCCUGGACCAACACUGACACUGAGGAGCGAAAGCCAGGGGAGCAAACGGG